CCUACGGGUGGCAGCAGUGAGGAAUAUUGGUCAAUGGCCGCAGGGCUGAACCAGCCAAGUCGCGUGAGGGAUGACGGUCCUCUGGAUUGUAAACCUCUUUUGUCAGGGAGCAAAGGGCGCCACGUGUGGCGUUUUGCGAGUACCUGAAGAAAAAGCAUCGGCUAACUCCGUGCCAGCAGCCGCGGUAAUACGGAGGAGGCGAGCGUUAUCCGGAUUUAUUGGGUUAAAAGGGUGCGAAGGGGGAAGGUCAAGUCAGCGGGAAAAUUUCGGGGCUAAACCCCGUCGUGCCGUUGAAACUGGGGGUCUUGAGUGAGCGAGAAGUAUGCGGAAUGCGUGGUGUAGCGGUGAAAUGCAUAGAUAUCACGCAGAACUCCGAUUGCGAAGGCAGCAUACCGGCGCUCAACUGACGCUCAUGCACGAAAGCGUGGGUAUCGAACAGGAUUAGAUACCCCAGUAGUC
rnacentral:rRNA from 1 species